rnacentral:lncRNA from 1 species
AGAGAUGCUGUGAAGAUCAAACCUUACAGACCUUUAGCGAGAGCUCAGAAUGAAGACGCUGCUGCUUUCCCUCCUCUGUUUUCUGGUGUGGAAUCAACACACUGAAGCUUUGACUGAUCAACAGGUGACUUUAGGAGAGACUGUGACUGUAGCCUGUGAGUUUAGAUUAAAAGCUGUUGUUUGGUUUGUGAUAAAACCGUCAGCUCGUCCGAUGAUGAUCAUGAGGACUUUUGGAACUGAAGAUGCUGAAUAUUAUGAUGAAAAACUGCGCAGCAAAUAUUCAGAGGGAAGCAGAAGCCACCUAAUAAUCAACGAUGUCAGUGCUGAUGAUUUGGGCGAAUAUUACUGUGUACAACCUGGUUGGAGUCUAGUUGUCAACGAUGGUAUCAGACUACACACCGCUGGAGUCCCCAAAGAUGACAAUGAGCCACAAGAUCUAUCCAGUAAUCAGAUUGUAUUGGUCAUUCUUGCCUGUUUAGUUGCUGUGAUGUUUGUUGCAAUAAUUGCUAGUUCUCUGCAACUCUCACAUGGUCGCCCACUGAAGCUAAGCAGGGCUGUGGCCGGUCAGUACAGGAUGGGAGACCACUUGGGAAAGCUAGGUUACAGCCGGAAGUGGUCAGCAGGGGGCUUUCAACCUGUGAUCUGUGUGGGUCCUAUAAUGCCCCAGUAUAAUGAAAGGUCCUGACUCUGUGGUCAUUAAAAUUCCCACAAUGUCCCUUGAAAAAGAGUAGGUUGCCAGAAUUUAACCCCAGCAUUCUGGACUCCCAACCAUCUCUAUAUUAUAACUGGCUUCAUCAUUCUGUCUUCUCUCCACCAAUCAGCUGGUGUGUGCGGUCUGGCGCAAAAUGGCUGCCUUCAUGACAUCCAGGUGGAUGCUGUACACAAGUUGUGGAUGAGGAGAUUCCCCUCAAUGUGUAAAGUGCUUUGAAUGUCCUGAAAAGCGCUACAUAAAUGUAAAAAAUUAUUAUUAUUAUAAGUCAUUACAUAAACAAGGUAUUAAAGUCUGUAUGAACAG